UACGUAGGGUGCGAGCGUUGUCCGGAAUUAUUGGGCGUAAAGAGCUCGUAGGCGGUCUGUCGCGUCGAUCGUGAAAACUUGGGGCUUAACCCUGAGCUUGCGGUCGAUACGGGCAUGACUGGAGUUCGGCAGGGGAGACUGGAAUUCCUGGUGUAGCGGUGAAAUGCGCAGAUAUCAGGAGGAACACCGAUGGCGAAGGCAGGUCUCUGGGCCGAUACUGACGCUGAGGAGCGAAAGCGUGGGGAGCGAGCAGG
rnacentral:rRNA from 1 species